rnacentral:rRNA from 1 species
CCUACGGGUGGCAGCAGUGGGGAAUAUUGGACAAUGGGGGGAACCCUGAUCCAGCCAUGCCGCGUGUGUGAAGAAGGCCCUCGGGUUGUAAAGCACUUUCAGUGAGGAAGAACGCCUGGUGGUUAAUACCCAUCAGGAAAGACAUCACUCACAGAAGAAGCACCGGCUAACUUCGUGCCAGCAGCCGCGGUAAUACGGAGGGUGCGAGCGUUAAUCGGAAUUACUGGGCGUAAAGCGCGCGUAGGUGGCUUGAUAAGCCGGUUGUGAAAGCCCCGGGCUCAACCUGGGAACGGCAUCCGGAACUGUCAAGCUAGAGUGCAGGAGAGGAAGGUAGAAUUCCCGGUGUAGCGGUGAAAUGCGUAGAGAUCGGGAGGAAUACCAGUGGCGAAGGCGGCCUUCUGGACUGACACUGACACUGAGGUGCGAAAGCGUGGGUAGCAAACAGGAUUAGAUACCCUAGUAGUC